UGAACCCAGUCAAAGUGUAUGAUACGAUCA
rnacentral:piRNA from 1 species